UACGUAGGUGGUAAGCGUUGUCCGGAAUUACUGGGUGUAAAGCGCGUGUAGGCGGGAGGCCAAGUCUGCUGUGAAAUCGCUCGGCUCAACUGGGCGGGGUCGGUGGAAACUGGUCACCUGGAGGACGGUAGAGGCGAGUGGAAUUCCCGGUGUAGUGGUGAAAUUCGUAGAUAUUCGCAAGAACACCAGUGGCGAAGGCGGCUUACUGGUCCGGUUCUGACGCUGAGGCGCGAAAGCGUGGGGAGCAAACAGG
rnacentral:rRNA from 1 species